GAGCCUCCGGAAGCAAAGUUCUGUGACACUCCGACUCUGGGUACGAUAGCAGUCAGUGCACUACAGAACUUUGUCUCCGGUGGCGG
rnacentral:pre_miRNA from 1 species